CAGUGGCGAACGGGUGAGUAACACGUGAGCAACCUGCCCUGGACUCUGGGAUAAGCGCUGGAAACGGCGUCUAAUACUGGAUAUGAGCUCUCAUCGCAUGGUGGGGGUUGGAAAGAUUUUUUGGUCUGGGAUGGGCUCGCGGCCUAUCAGCUUGUUGGUGAGGUAAUGGCUCACCAAGGCGUCGACGGGUAGCCGGCCUGAGAGGGUGACCGGCCACACUGGGACUGAGACACGGCCCAGACUCCUACGGGAGGCAGCAGUGGGGAAUAUUGCACAAUGGGCGGAAGCCUGAUGCAGCAACGCCGCGUGAGGGAUGACGGCCUUCGGGUUGUAAACCUCUUUUAGCAGGGAAGAAGCGAGAGUGACGGUACCUGCAGAAAAAGCGCCGGCUAACUACGUGCCAGCAGCCGCGGUAAUACGUAGGGCGCAAGCGUUAUCCGGAAUUAUUGGGCGUAAAGAGCUCGUAGGCGGUUUGUCGCGUCUGCUGUGAAAUCCCGAGGCUCAACCUCGGGCCUGCAGUGGGUACGGGCAGACUAGAGUGCGGUAGGGGAGAUUGGAAUUCCUGGUGUAGCGGUGGAAUGCGCAGAUAUCAGGAGGAACACCGAUGGCGAAGGCAGAUCUCUGGGCCGUAACUGACGCUGAGGAGCGAAAGGGUGGGGAGCAAACAGGCUUAGAUACCCUGGUAGUCCACCCCGUAAACGUUGGGAACUAGUUGUGGGGACCAUUCCACGGUUUCCGUGACGCAGCUAACGCAUUAAGUUCCCCGCCUGGGGAGUACGGCCGCAAGGCUAAAACUCAAAGGAAUUGACGGGGACCCGCACAAGCGGCGGAGCAUGCGGAUUAAUUCGAUGCAACGCGAAGAACCUUACCAAGGCUUGACAUACACCAGAACACCGUAGAAAUACGGGACUCUUUGGACACUGGUGAACAGGUGGUGCAUGGUUGUCGUCAGCUCGUGUCGUGAGAUGUUGGGUUAAGUCCCGCAACGAGCGCAACCCUCGUUCUAUGUUGCCAGCACGUAAUGGUGGGAACUCAUGGGAUACUGCCGGGGUCAACUCGGAGGAAGGUGGGGAUGACGUCAAAUCAUCAUGCCCCUUAUGUCUUGGGCUUCACGCAUGCUACAAUGGCCGGUACAAAGGGCUGCAAUACCGUGAGGUGGAGCGAAUCCCAAAAAGCCGGUCCCAGUUCGGAUUGAGGUCUGCAACUCGACCUCAUGAAGUCGGAGUCGCUAGUAAUCGCAGAUCAGCAACGCUGCGGUGAAUACGUUCCCGGGUCUUGUACACACCGCCCGUCAAGUCAUGAAAGUCGGUAACACCUGAAGCCGGUGGCCUAACCC
rnacentral:rRNA from 1 species